GCUUCACGAAUUGAGCCGUCAUCUUCCUGACUUACUUCCAAAUAUGGAAAUGACUGAAGAGGAAUUUAUGAACACCGAUUUUGGGGCAAUAGCCGCCGCCCUAUAGAGAUUAUAGUACUCCUCGACCAGUCAAUCGCGAUGAGGCCCCAAUAAUUCCAGUAAUUCCAUUACCUAUCUUAGGACUCCAACUGAAGUACCAUGUUGUCCUGAUGCUGAUCGCUAUUUGCAAUGGAUCAAUAAAGAAGAAGAACAUAAACAGGAUGAUUCACCCUCUAACGCGAUGUCGUUGAUGUCUUUGCCGUGGACCAGAAUCUGGAAGGUUUCAAAAAUCAAUCAAGUCCGAGAAAUCGAAGGGGUCGUCAUUGAUGAGAGUAAAGUCGAAAAAGCGAAAAAAUAUACUCACCAUGAUCGUUAUGAGAAUAAGGAGGAGGAUAUCGAUUAAAAAAAGGAGAAGCAUUUCGCAUAAUUAUCUCUCACGCAGAUCGGCUUUGUUACGCGUUUUAUUUUAUAUAGUCAUACCCAAAGAAUUAUUUUGUUUUUUUUUAGUAUUUGGUUGAAGUUAAUUUUUUGAGACAAAAUUCGUAUAAAUUAUAUUGUGAAAAUCCA